rnacentral:rRNA from 1 species
CCGAGUGCCCGUAAAUUCGGGCUGUCCGCCAGUGUAAAUAACUGGUGAAGAAAGGGCCGGGCAAGACCGGUGCCAGCCGCCGCGGUAACACCGGCGGCUCGAGUGGUAACCGUUAUUAUUGGGUCUAAAGGGUCUGUAGCCGGCCGGAUAAGUCUCUUGAGAAAUCCAGCAGCUCAACUGUUGGGCUUUCAGGAGAUACUGUCUGGCUCGAGGCCGGGAGAGGUGAGAGGUACUUCAGGGGUAGGGGUGAAAUCUUGUAAUCCUUGAAGGACCACCAGUGGCGAAGGCGUCUCACCAGAACGGACCUGACGGCAAGGGACGAAAGCUAGGGGCACGAACCGGAUUAGAUACCCGGGUAGUCCUAGCCGUAAACGAUACUCGCUAGGUGUCGGCCACGGUGCGACCGUUGUCGGUGCCGUAGGGAAGCCGUGAAGCGAGC